UCAUAAUAAGUGCUUUAUGGCACUUUUUAAAUCCAUAUCCACCUUGUGUGCAAUGUCAGUCGGUCUUCUUUAUGGAGAUCGGCCAAACAUCAACCUAAUUUUUUAACUCUUUGUCUGAAAAAUAUUAUGAAUAAAAUAAUUCAAAAUACAACUUUCAACAACGGAUCUCUUGGCUCUCGCAUCGAUGAAGAACGCAGCGAAAUGCGAUACGUAAUGUGAAUUGCAGAAUUCAGUGAGUCAUCGAAUCUUUGAACGCAUAUUGCGCUCUUUGGUAUUCCGAAGAGCAUGCUUGUUUGAGUAUCAGUAAACACCUCAAAACUUUUUUUUAUUUUUGAAAAACAGUUUUGGACUUGAGCAAUCCCAACACCAAUCUUUUUUAGAUCGGUGGCGGGUUGCUUGAAAUGCAGGUGCAGCUGGACAUUCUCCUGAGCUAAAAGCAUAUUUAUUUAGUCCCGUCAAGCGGAUUAUUACUUUUGCUGCAGCUAAUAUAAAGGGAGUUUGACCGUUUUGGCUGACUGAUGCAGGAUUUCACAAGGGUCGGCAACGAUUCUUGUAAAACUCGAUCUCAAAUCAAGUAAGACUACCCGCUGAACUUAAGCAUAUCAAUAA
rnacentral:rRNA from 1 species